GGUCUAUGGUCAGUGGAAACUUAUGUUUGCCCACUGUAUGAUGCAGAGAAAAAAUUUUGUCAAGGGAUUACCCUUGCUAAAUUACCCAAACGUUUCCACAGCUUCCCCAAAAUAUGGAAAGGAUUCUGUGAUGAACAUCUUCAAUACCUGGCCAGAAAUCAUCCAAAUAUCCCUACUGAUCUGUGAGGAUUUUUGGCAUAUUGUUGAAUUCAACGCAGUGAAGCGGAGAUAGGUGAACAGUCAAAUGAAAAUAUGUCAGGUCAGGAAGUCACUAAAGUAGACGCUGUACUGUCGUCAUUUCAUCAUGAUGAAUUGUCACAACUAGGGAACAGUCCUGUGAUGUGUCAAGGAAACACAGAGUUCAUUGAAACGGAAUAUGAUGCAAUGAGCAAUGUACUUAGUGAAUGCACUGAACCACAACGGACAUCCUGUAACAAAGAUACAGGUGCUAAGCAGUGGCUUCAGAAGUGGUCACAAGGUCA